rnacentral:lncRNA from 1 species
AUAAAAAUUAUUGGGGCAAUUUCUUAUAUACCCCUGAAAGUUUCCAAUUUUUCGAUUUACCCCUCUUAGAAGGCUAAUAUUGAAAAUACCCCUCCUACGUUCCAACCUAUUUCUAAUAUACCCUUAGAGUUAUAAUCUGUUAAAUAACACUGUUAUCUCUGUAAAAUUACUCUUUUACCCUUUUCAAAUAUACCCUUCCACCAUCAUUGUCUUUCUUAUUUGCCCUUAAAGUCAGGGGCACAAAAAGUAUUUCAACUUUUUAUCUUUUUCAAUAUACCCCUCUACCGUAACCAACCUUUCUUAUUUGCCCUUAAGAUAAGGGCAAAAUUGGCAUUUUAAUUUUUUUUAACUGUGAUAAAUAUUUAACUCACGUUUAACUCAGGUUAACUUAACAGGAGAUAACUACGGGGGUAUUUUGCAAUAACGGUGGAAUAUAUGAAGGGCAUUUUAGAAAGAAAAAAAAAGUAGGGGUAGAUCGGAUAUUUCCAGACGCAUGAGGGUUAUAUAGGCAAUUAUCCCAAAAUUAUUUAUAUAA